GUGCCAGAGCCGCGGUAAUACGUAGGUGGCAAGCGUUAUCCGGAAUUAUUGGGCGUAAAGCGCGCGCAGGUGGUUUCUUAAGUCUGAUGUGAAAGGCCACGGCUCAACCGUGGAGGGUCAUUGGAAACUGGGAGACUUGAGUGCAGUAGAGGAAAGUGGAAUUCCAUGUGUAGCGGUGAAAUGCGUAGAGAUAUGGAGGAACACCAGUGGCGAAGGCGACUUUCUGGUCUGUAACUGACACUGAGGCGCGAAAGCGUGGGGAGCAAACAGGAUUAGAUAC
rnacentral:rRNA from 1 species